GAUCCUGGCUCAGGACGAACGCUGGCGGCGUGCCUAAUACAUGCAAGUCGAACGAGAGCGACCGGUGCUUGCACUGGUCAAUCUAGUGGCGAACGGGUGAGUAACACGUGGGUAACCUGCCCAUCAGAGGGGGAUAACAUUCGGAAACGGAUGCUAAAACCGCAUAGGUCCUUUAACCACAUGGUUGAAGGAGGAAAAAGAGGCGCAAGCUUCUGCUGAUGGAUGGACCCGCGGUGCAUUAG
rnacentral:rRNA from 1 species